CUCAGUUCUGAAAUCAAAUGAACUCCUUCAAACUAAUAUGAAUUCUCUUAACUGAUUCAUUUUUCUGCAUGUGCUAGUUUAGUAACCAUUCCCAAAAACCAUGCAUCUAAAUAGCUGGAAGAGAGAUGUAAAUUGGAAAACAACAAGAAACUAUACAUUUCCAAUAUUCAGUUUCAUUCAAUAUGUUUCACCAUAACACAUUAGCUUAUUUAAUUAUUUUCAUGCUCACGGGACUUUUUAACUGUAGGAUGGCUAUGCUAUACAAAGCUUUAAGCGAGGAAUGGCUGCACAAAAGAGUCAAUUUUUUUUCAACACAUAAAUUUUGCAUUUGACAUCGUGCAUUAGUUUCAAUCGCAGCCCAAACUCUGCAAGAUUUCAGUCAAGUGUAUUUGGCUCUGCUGUUCCAAGCGGAUCAUCUGUUUUACAGGGAUGCAAUGUCAAGAGAGUCCAACCCAUUAAAGCACCGACCACUGAAUUGCCACCAACUGUUCAGA